rnacentral:rRNA from 1 species
UGGGGAAUAUUAGGCAAUGGGGGAAACCCUGACCUAGCGACGCCGCGUGAAGGAUGAAGGUUUUCGGAUUGUAAACUUCUUUGGCAGAGGACGAUAAUGACGGUACUCUGAGAACAAGCCACGGCUAACUACGUGCCAGCAGCCGCGGUAAUACGUAGGGGGCAAGCGUUAUCCGGAUUUACUGGGUGUAAAGGGAGCGUAGACGGCAGGGCAAGUCUGAAGUGAAAGGCGGGGGCUCAACCCCCGGACUGCUUUGGAAACUGUCCGGCUAGAGUGCAGGAGAGGUAAGUGGAAUUCCUAGUGUAGCGGUGAAAUGCGUAGAUAUUAGGAGGAACACCAGUGGCGAAGGCGGCUUACUGGACUGUAACUGACGUUGAGGCUCGAAAGCGUGGGGAGCAAACAGGAUUAGAUACCCUGGUAGU